rnacentral:rRNA from 1 species
UACGUAGGGUCCGAGCGUUGUCCGGAAUUCUUGGGCGUAAAGAGCUCGUAGGUGGUUUGUCGCGUUGUCCGUGAAAACUCACAACUCAAUUGUGGGCGUGCGGGCGAUACGGGCAGACUGGAGUACUGCAGGGGAGACUGGAAUUCCUGGUGUAGCGGUGGAAUGCGCAGAUAUCAGGAGGAACACCGGUGGCGAAGGCGGGUCUCUGGGCAGUAACUGACGCUGAGGAGCGAAAGCGUGGGGAGCGAACAGG